CCUCUUCCUCGCCAGGCGCAGGGGCACAAGGUGGUGAGCCUGGCGCAGCUGCACAACAAGCGGCCGCCGGCGGCGACGGGGCUCCGCCUCGACUUUGACGAUGGCGGGUCGGAGCACGUGUCGAUGACGACCACCUCCUCCGCGUCGUCUAUCCUCUCUGACGAGCUCGCCACGCAGUUCGACCGGUACAAGAACGAGAUGGCGCGUAUGUUCCAGGAUCAUGUGAGGAUCGUCGACGUCGUCGAUCGUGUUGAUUCGUUGCUUGCUGCUGCUGGUGUUCGACUAUGCGUUUUCUACGGUGGUGGCGUCGCUUUUGCUUGCUUGUUGCAGACGGAGAGGCUGCGCCGGACUGCCGGAGGGAGAAGGAGGCGGAGGCCUCGAAUGCGGCGCGGCGCGGCGCCGAGCUGGAGGAGCGUGUCGCGCGGCUGCGGGCGGAGGCGGCAGCGUGGCACCCUGCCGUCCAGCCGCGGCCAGGGAGGCGCGUGGAAGCCGCCGGCUGCCCCUGACGUCGACGAGGUCCGGCCGCCAUUGCUCAAGCCACCACGGCGCUCAUCUUCAUGGUCGUCCUCGCCGCGCUCCUCCUGUGGCUCUCGCCGGGUGGCCCCGCGUGGGCGCUGUCCCGUUGCCGUGGCACGACGCCGCCGCCGCCGGGCUGCCCCUGACCCCUCCCUGUCCGCGGCGGGACGGCAGGGCCCCGGCUGGACGGCCGGACGCGGGCGGGCGAGGCGGUCCUCGGUCUCCGCGACGGCCGGACGAGGACGACGCGAGCGCGGACGCCUCGCGCGGCGCUCGCGGCGAGCCCGGCGAGGCACGACGGCGGACGCUCGCAGCCCUCCCCACUCGCGGCGAGGCCGGCGAGUCACGGCGGCGGCGCGCCUCCCAGCUCGCGUCGUCGGGCGAACGAGAGGAGAGCCGCACGCGGGAUGGAUGGAUUGGGGCGCCGUCUCCCGUCGGGAUGGAUGGAUUGGGGAUUUUUUUUUUACCUGCAGGCGGGCCCAACAAAACAGGCGUUGGAUUUAAUUUGGAUGGC
rnacentral:lncRNA from 1 species